ensembl:lncRNA
CUAGGAGUUAAAUCUUGGCUUCUUGUUUUAUAAAACACUAGAGUCUAUGAUGAACAAAAGCCCAGAGGUUAAAUAUUAUCACUUGUAACUUUAAAUACAAAGCACUAAACACAUUUAAAGUCACCUGUAAUGAUAUUUAACUCUUGGUUUCUUGUUAAGUAUAUAGCGUAUGAAAACUGAUUAAACAAGAUAUAUUAUAUCUUAUAUUUAUUUAUUUCUCUCUAUGAAAUAAUCGUAAGCUCAGCCCCCUUCUGUCAUUACUAAUGUCAGUCUCAUUCUGAUGGACAGUUUAUAAAGAGCAGGAGACUUCACUCUUCUCACAGUCAUGGACUUCUCUGCACAGGAAUAAAAUCAGAGUAUCCAGAACCAUGGGUGCCCAGGUUUCAGUCGUCAAUCAGACUCCUUACACCUGGUACUUUGCCACUCAAGACAGAGGGUAUACAUACAUCGGUCCUGGCAGCACAACAUCCUAUAAAGAGUCUCUGGCAAUCCAUCGCUACAUCCACAUCAGAUAUGAAAAUCACUCGUGGAAUAGUUUUUCAUACGAGUUUAACACCCAUAAAGGUGACACAUCUUUUAUCCUAAGAGAAACCUACGACCGUUCCCAGAUUCAGUUGCACUGCACCUCUGAAGGCGGCACUCAUUACUGUCCCAACUACGGAAAAAUUAAAGAAGAUGAAAACCGGAGACAGCAGCAGGAGGAGGAGAGAAGACGUCAGGAACGACAAAUCGAAGAAGAUAACAAACGGAGACAGCAAGAAGAGGAGAGAAGACGUCUGGAACGUUUGGAACGUGAACAAAGGAUUCAAAAGGAGCUGGACAGAGAGAGUGAACUGUCCAGACGCAAGCUUUCUCGAGCAACUGUGCGGCUUCGUGAAAAACAGAGCUUCAGAGGUCAUGAGAAACAUCAUGAACGUAUACAAGUUCUCCAACAGCAAAUAGAAGAUGAUGCUGCUGCGAUCGAGAGGAACGAGGUUAUCGAUAUCGAAGAAAAAUUCAACAACCUUUUAUUUAAGUAUCAGAUCACAGAAGAUAAAGAAAUACAGCAGCACCAGAUUUGGAGCAGGAUUAAGAUACUCCUGAAUGAAGUUGCAGUUCAAUAUUGUAGAGAAAACAACCUUUCACUAUGGUCUCAGUUUACCUUUGAUCAAGCUGUAAGAUAUAACAAACUGUCUCUUACAGAGAAGCUCACAGUUCUUGAGGCAUCUCUACAGUUCAUUAUGCACAGUAGCACUGAAGAUGCUAAAGAUGACGAAGAUCAGCCGCUUGGUUGGGAGAAGUACCACUUUUUCUUGGGUUUGUUGGAGCAGCUUCAUUUCACAAGUCCAACUUUGGCCGAACGCAUUUUAUUAAAUGUGCUUGACACAAUCUCAGAGCUUUCACUCAAAAGUAGGGACAUUUUGGGUCAAAUGUUGUUCAACAGAAUCUGGACACCAACAGAAAUAAUGCUCUUACUUUGCAGAAGUCCAGCUAUCAAUUGCCAUCAACUCGAUUCAGUUCUCCACACAGCACAAACCUACCACCUGGACUGCAUCCUCGUUAUCUCUGCUCUUAUGAAUGAAAACACUUUAAACUUUCUUCAAGAACAAAUAAAAAACGACAAGGAAAAAGAUGCUGAUACAAUUGUGAAGGAACUUCAUGAAGCAAACUGCCCAGAAAAAGUCUUGGUGCCUUUGAAUGAUGUGCUCAGAUACAUGCAGUUGGAACUCCCAAAAUAUCAACUGGUGGACCUAACCAAAGAACAAAUUGCUGAAUUGAAAGGAAAGAUAAGAUCUCUUAAUUUUACAAACCUAGAUAUAAACCUUUUGAAAGAGAUAUUAAUUGGGAUGUCAAUAGCAGUGCAAGACUGCUCAACAAUCAUCACAGCAGACAAUGUGAAAAUUGAAGGAUAUUUUCCAAGACUUACACAACUAGCAUCAUUGUUUUUGCUUCUUCUGACAGAAAAUAAAGGAUGUCUCCUAGAGAUUGGCACAGGUGAGGGCAAGUCCUGUAUCUUAGCCAUGUUUGCAACAAUUCUGGCUAUUCGUGGAACAAAAGUGGACAUUGUGACAAGCUCUCCAGUUCUCGCCCGACGAGGCCAAGAAGAGUGGCAAAAGUUUUUUGAAAUGUUUGGUGUCACCUCAUCUGUAGUACCCCCACAUUACUCAAGUGACUAUUCACCAGAGAAACAAGAGGAAUGUCUUAAAGAUGCUUACCGGCAGCAAAUAGUAUAUGGCACAGUGGGAGCCUUUGCAGCAGACACACUAAAACAGGAAUUUGAGAAGAGGACAACUCGCGGUACAAGGCAGUUUGAGCUUGUAAUAGUGGAUGAAGUGGACUAUAUGACCUUGGACAAUGGAGUUCAAAUAACAUUCUUGUCCCAUGAAUCUAGUGGAUUUAGGCAUGUGGAACAAGUGCUUUCCAACAUAUGGGCCAUGAUAUCUACUUGUCAACCAAUUGAAAUGCUAGAAACAGGAGAGAUAAAAUGGGCAACAAGAAUACAAUAUUUUCAUAAAGCUGUAACUGCAGCUGUUAUGGGACUGGAAACAUCAGACAACUUUUCAGCAAAUGAGAUCUUGUUGCCUGGAGUAACUUUGGGAUUCUACACCCAGGAGGAUAUUGAAAUGAUACAUCAGGCUGAGAGCAAGAAAGAAAAUGAAGAUGAUGGGAAUGAGGACCAAAUGUCCAAAGCAUUAUCUGAAGUCAUGAAAAAACUUGGAGUUUCACAUCAGUACGAUCUUCUGACUAUAUUCGAGGAGGUCUUGGAGAACAGUGCAGUGUUUAAGUGCUAUUCUUUAGAGAACAAGAAAGCCAAAUGUUUUCAAGCUUGGGAAAAACAAGGUGACCUCAAUGUUGAAAUGCUACUGCUCGAAGGAGGACUGGCGUGCGAAAUCAUGUCUGAGAAAUUGCUCAUUGAUGCAACUGUGAGCACAAUAAAGUCAUCUAUAAAGUACUCUGAUGACCUCAUAGUACAGAAUGACCUCCAAACAGCUGAAGAAUCCAACAAAUUUAUUGUCAUCCCUGUUUUCAUGAAAAGUUAUGUUGAAAAUCAGUUACCAGUUUUUGUUGAGAAUGCACUAAGGGCUGUUGAGAUGUCGCAGGGCAGAGAAUACCUGAUCGACAGCUCACCGGCUGCUGAGAAAGAUGUUGCUGACAGUCAUGACAGACACAUGUAUAAUGCAAUAAUUCCAGUGGACUUCAAAGCAAGCGGUGUGCUGGAGAAAAACAAGAAGUGGGGGAAUGGUCUGCAGCAAUUUUUGGAGUUUAAGCACCAGCUUGCAAUUUCAUCGUUAUCCAGUGUGACAAACUACAUGUCAAAUUUACAUUAUUUUAAAAGGUACCUCAGUGGGAGAGGUAUAUUUGGUGUUUCUGGUACAUUAGGAGGUAAAGCAGAUCGGGAAUUUCUGGCAAGACAUUAUAAAGUAAACAGUUAUGCUGUGCCUGCACAUCGCCAUAAAAGGGUGGUGGAGCUUCCAGUCAUCCAGGUGACAGGUGGAAAUCACCAGUGGAUCCAGACUAUUUGUGAAACUUCAUGGAAAGUAGCAGAAAGAGGACAAGUUGUCUUGGUAAUUUGUGAAGAUGUCAAAACAGCAGAUGAACUACAUGAGAGAAUAAAAGAUGGAGGCAGAGUUAAGGCAGAACAGAUAACUCUGUACACAAUCAGUGAGAAGCACAACAUUGAAAGAGAGGAAUUCUGUGCAGGCAGAAUCAUCAUUGCUACAAAUCUUGGAGGACGGGGGACAGACAUAAAGGUUAAUGAAAGUGUGAAUAUGUGUGGUGGUCUUUUCGUUCUCCUUACAUAUUUUCCACACAACCAAAGAGUCGAGAAACAAAUAUUUGGUCGCACAUCUCGAAAAGGCAGUCCUGGGAUGGUCCAGAUGGUUGUGAACUGUGAUCAUCUCGCACCCGCUUACCAAGGUCAGUCUGUUGAAAUCAUGCGCCAUCUUAGAGAGGAUUAUGAAAUUAAACGAAUCCAUGACAUGGAAAGUAAUGAGCUGGCUGCAAUAAACCUAAAGGAAGAUCUGUUCUCCAAAUUUUGUAAAUUGCUGAAGGAUUUUGAUAGGUCUUACACACCAAAAGAAAAACUGGAUCCCAUGCAAAUGCAGC